GUGACCGCCGCGGCGGCCUUCUUGGUUUAUCUGUGGCGGGAGAGAGCUGGGGACCUAGACCGGGGCCCGGAAUCGGGGACGGCGGAGCUCCGAGGCUUCCCGCCGGUGCCGGCCUCCGCCCUCGUCCUGUGCAGACGGGCCGGCCACCUGCCUGCUGGGCCUUCGGAGUGAGCUGGGCGGCCUCGGUGCCCUCACCUGUGAGAUGGUCCCAGGGUCGUCCAGGGAACAGCGUUGCCGGAGGCCUAUGGGAGGCAGCGGGGACGUGCACGGCCGUGUGAAGCAGGGCGAUGGCCCGAAGGACCAACCGGGAGCCCCGAAAAGCUGACCGUGGGUGAGGUUGUUGAGCAGAGCAGAGCCCCUGCCCUCGGCUGACUUCCGCCAAGGGUUGUGUGACGGGCCCCUUGGCUUUCGUUGCAGACGAUUGAGCAAGAUACGGCUGGCCCGUGGGUGACCGGUCACCACGUGUUACUCAGCGCCCGGACACCAGCCAGGUCGGGAGCCGUGCCACCUUCCGUGAUGGACACACUGGCUACUCUGCGGAAGCGCGUCACCGAAGCCGGGAGUCGACCGACAGAGGUGAGAAAGUGGCAAGGACGGGAAGUGGGGACCCUGGAGGCAAAUCCAGGUGCAGCAGCGACGGGGCGAGAAGAAAGAGCUGCGGCCAGAGGGGCCUGGCGAGGCCGACUUGAUGAGAAGGACGAUGUCCCCCGGGGGGUGACGCCGGCCACGCCCCCGCGCCGACACGUUUCGCGUCGCCCCGAGUGCCCGAGUGCGAAGGCCUCGCUGGAAGCUGAUCGCGACGCGGAACAGACAGCGACGGCCGACAGAGGUCCAGAAAGGAUGCUCGCGGCACGUCCUAAGUCACAGCGGAAGAGGCGAUAGCUGUUCAUACUGUUCCUGGUAAGUUUCUCCUUUAAGUCGUGGUUAAAUACACAUAGUUUAUUUAUUUACUUUCUAUUUUUUUAAUGUUUUUUUUUUAAACGUUCAUUCAUGUUUGAGACAGAGAGAGACAGAGCAUGAAUGGGGGAAGGUCAGAGAGAGAGAGAGAGACACAGAAUCUGAAACAGGCUCCAGGCUCCAAGCUGUCAGCACAGAGCCCGACGCGGGGCUCGAACUCACGGACCGCAAGAUCAUGACCUGAGCCGAAGUUGGACGCCCAACCGACUGAGCCACCCAGGCGCCCCGUAUUUUUUUAAUGUUUUAUUUUAUUUUUUGAGAGGCAGAAUGAGAGUGCGAGCAGGGGAGGGGCAGGGAGAGAAGGAGACACAGAAUCCGAAGCAGGCUCCAGGCUCCCAGCCGUCAGCACAGAGCCUGACGCGGGGCUCGAAGCCCCAAACACAAGGUCAUGACCUGAGCCGAAGUCAGAGCCACCCAGGCACCCCAAAUACCCAUAGUUUAAAAUCUACGACCUUGACCACUUCCAAGUGCAUGGUUCUGUGGCAUCAGGUGCUGUACAAGCAGGGACGGCUCCGCGAACUUGUGUGUGGACACCGUUGCAGAGAUGCUCAUCUCCUCGAGGCCGUUCUGAUUUGAGUAUCUGUGCUGCUUUCGAACAAGGAAAGAAGCUCGAUCAUUCUCGAUGCUUCUGAAAGUUAGAGUGCCCCCAGCAAAGAUUAGCUUUACCGUUUCUAUUUGCCUGCAUAGUUCUAACCAAUGGGAAAGUUUCUCAUGUUUGGGAGAUCAUGGAAGUCACACUUUUCCCACUGAUUUUUGUUCUCUCCCCAUGUCCACUUAAACAGUGUUAUUGAGGGGUGCCUAAGGGGCUCGGUCGGUUAAGUGCCCAACUUCAGCUCAGGUCAUGGUCUCACAGUUUGUGAGUUCGAGCCCCACGUCGGGCUCUGUGCUGACAGCCUAGAGCCUGGAGCCUGCUUCGGAUAUGUCUGUCUGUCUCUCUGCCCCUUUCCUGCUCACACUCUCUCUCUGUCUCUCAAAAAUGAAUAAACGUUAAAAAAUUUUUUUUGAAAAUGUUAUUGGGAUGCCUAGGUGGCUCAGUUGGUUCAGUGUCCGACUCUUGAUUUCCACUCAGGUCAUGAUCUCACGGUUCAUGAGAUUGAGCCCUGGUCAGGCUCUGUGCUGACAGCACACAGCCUGCUUGGGAUCCUCUCUCUCUCUGCACGCCCCCCCCCCCCCAAAAUAAAUAAA